AACAGAAGAGUCGACCUGCACCAUCAGAAGAACCUCUUGCUGAUCAGGAGCAGGUGACACCUGGUGAUGACGAGAAGGCAAAGAGAGAUGCAGGAAAAUGGUGGAAGCCCUGGGUCUCUCAGCCUGGAGUGGAAAACAAUUGUGGCUACCACCUGUUUGAGAGUGACAGUGAGGAGGAGGAAGAGGAAGUUCCUGAGAAGACAGAGGAAGAGCAACUA